rnacentral:rRNA from 1 species
GACGAACGCUGGCGGCGUGCUUAACACAUGCAAGUCGAACGGAAAGGCCUCUUUCGGGGGGUACUCGAGGGGCGAACGGGUGAGUAACACGUGAGUAACCUGCCCUUGACUUUGGGAUAACUUCAGGAAACUGGGGCUAAUACCGGAUAGGAGCUCCUGCUGCAUGGUGGGGGUUGGAAAGUUUCGGCGGUUGGGGAUGGACUCGCGGCUUAUCAGCUUGUUGGUGGGGUAGUGGCUUACCAAGGCUUUGACGGGUAGCCGGCCUGAGAGGGUGACCGGCCACAUUGGGACUGCGAUACGGCCCAGACUCCUACGGGAGGCAGCAGUGGGGAAUAUUGCACAAUGGGUGGAAGCCUGAUGCAGCAACGCCGUGUGCGGGAUGACGGCCCUCGGGUUGUAAACCGCUUUCGCUCAUGACGAAGCUUUGUGUGACGGUAGUGGGUAAAGAAGCACCGGCUAACUACGUG